rnacentral:rRNA from 1 species
AACGACCGCUGGCGGCAGGCCUAACACAUGCAAGUCGAGCGGAUCCUUCGGGAUUAGCGGCGGACGGGUGAGUAACGCGUGGGAAUAUGCCCUUCUCUACGGAAUAGCCUCGGGAAACUGGGAGUAAUACCGUAUACGCCCUACGGGGGAAAGAUUUAUCGGAGAAGGAUUAGCCCGCGUUGAAUUAGGUAGUUGGUGGGGUAAUGGCCUACCAAGCCUACGAUCCAUAGCUGGUUUGAGAGGAUGAUCAGCCACACUGGGACUGAGACACGGCCCAGACGCCUCCGGGAGGCAGCAGUGGGGAAUCUUAGACAAUGGGGGAAACCCUGAUCUAGCCAUGCCGCGUGAGUGAUGAAGGCCUUAGGGUUGUAAAGCUCUUUCAGCUGGGAAGAUAAUGACGGUACCAGCAGAAGAAGCCCCGGCUAACUCCGUGCCAGCCGCCGCGGUAAAAC